rnacentral:lncRNA from 1 species
UGGCUGAUGUGCUUUGGCCGGCCGAAGUUGCGUCCUUCCUACUUAAAUGCUCGACGCUUGUCAUCCUGGUACUGUUCGGCGGUUCUCAGACAUUGCCCAACAACUUUCCCGCCGUUCCAAAGGGUCCGUACUGGACGCUUCUCGAUGUCGCCCAACUGGUGCUGCUUAUGGUCUCCACUGGGUUGGCCAUCGCCAAAGGCUCAGUCAUGUUGGAGAGCGUCGAUCUGCUUGGCUACCAGAGCGUACCCGACCUACGAAGAGCAACAUCGGAUUUCGCGAUGGCGCUCUCUAUUGCACUCCUGACGUUGAUGCUGUGGCGUCGAUGGCGACGGUGCCUUCCACCGUCGGGAUUUGCAGCUGCCAUUUUGGGCCUGUUGUCGACGGCCUGCGUGCUGGACGCUUUUCGCCUAUGCGCGGCCACAACGCAAC